UCUGGUUGAUCCUGCCGGAGGCCAUUGCUAUUGGGAUCCGAUUUAGCCAUGCUAGUCGUACGAGUUCAGACUCGUGGCGAAUAGCUCAGUAACAUGUGGCCAAACUACCCUUCGGACCGCAAUACCCUCGGGAAACUGAGGUUAAUAGCGGACACCACACGCAGACUGGAAUGUCGCGUGUGUCAAACGCUCCGGCGCCGAAGGAUGUGGCUGCGGCCGAUUAGGUAGACGGUGGGGUAACGGCCCACCGUGCCAAUAAUCGGUACGGGUCAUGAGAGUGAGAACCCGGAGACGGAAUCUGAGACAAGAUUCCGGGCCCUACGGGGCGCAGCAGGCGCGAAACCUUUACACUGCACGCCAGUGCGAUAAGGGGAUCCCAAGUGCGUAGGCAUAGAGCCUACGCUUUUGUCCACCCUAGGGUGGUGGACGAAUAAGGGCUGGGCAAGACCGGUGCCAGCCGCCGCGGUAAUACCGGCAGCCCGAGUGAUGGCCGAUCUUAUUGGGCCUAAAGCGUCCGUAGCUGGCCGCACAAGUCCAUCGGGAAAUCCACCUGCUCAACAGGUGGGCGUCCGGUGGANACUGUGUGGCUUGNGGCCGGAAGGCGCGACGGGUACGUCCGGGGUAGGAGUGAAAUCCUGUAAUCCUGGACGGACCGCCGAUGGCGAAAGCACGUCGCGA
rnacentral:rRNA from 1 species